rnacentral:rRNA from 1 species
AGUCCACUNUUUCGGAAUUACUGGGCGUAAGAGCUCGUAAGCGGUUUGUCGCGUCNUCUGUAAAACCCCGCAGCUCAACUGCGGGCUUGCAGGCGAUACGGGCAGACUUGAGUACUGCAGGGGAGACUGGAAUUCCUGGUGUAGCGGUGAAAUGCGCAGAUAUCAGGAGGAACACCGGUGGCGAAGGCGGGUCUCUGGGCAGUAACUGACGCUGAGGAACGAAAGCGUGGGUAGCGAACAGGAUUAGAUACCCUGGUAGUCCACGCCGUAAACGGUGGGCGCUAGGUGUGGGUUUCCUUCCACGGGAUCCGUGCCGUAACUAACGCAUUAAGCGCCCCGCCUGGGGAGUACGGCCGCAAGGCUAAANACUCAAAGGAAUUGACGGGGGCCCCGCACAAGCGGCCGGANCAUGUGGAUUAAUUCGAUGCAACGCGAAANACCUUACCUGGGUUUUGACAUACACCGGACCGCCCCANAGAUGGGGUUUCCCUUGUGGCCUGUGUACAGGUGGGUGCAUGGCUGUCGUCAGCUCGUGUCGUGAGAUGUUUGGGUUUAGUCCCCCAACGAGCGCAACCCUUGUCCUGUGUUGCCACCAAUNAAGUUGGGGACUCCCAAGANACUGGCCGGGUCACUCNGAGGAGGGGGGNACACCCCAGUCUCAUGCCCUUUAUGUCCAGGGUUCACAAUUCUACAAUGGCGGNAAAAGGCUCCAUNCCCCAGGGGACGAAUCCUUAAGCGGUUCAUUUUGACGGGUCUGCACCACCCCUGAACCGAUGCUUUAACCAAAACACCUCGAGAAUCUUCCGAAAAA